rnacentral:rRNA from 1 species
UGGGGAAUAUUGGGCAAUGGGCGAAAGCCUGACCCAGCAACGCCGCGUGAAGUAUGAAGGCCUUCGGGUUGUAAACUUCUUUGAUCAGGGAAGAAACAAAUGACGGUACCUGAAAAACAAGCCACGGCUAACUACGUGCCAGCAGCCGCGGUAAUACGUAGGUGGCGAGCGUUAUCCGGAUUUACUGGGUGUAAAGGGCGUGCAGGCUGGCUGAUAAGUCAGAUGUGAAAUCCCCGAGCUUAACUCGGGAACUGCAUCUGAUACUGUUGGUCUUGAGUGCUGGAGAGGAUAGUGGAAUUCCUAGUGUAGCGGUAAAAUGCGCAGAUAUUAGGAGGAACACCAGUGGCGAAGGCGGCUAUCUGGACAGUAACUGACGCUGAGGCGCGAAAGCGUGGGUAGCAAACAGG